rnacentral:rRNA from 1 species
GAUGAACGCUGGCUACAGGCUUGACACAUGCAAGUCGAGGGGAAACGACGGGGAAGCUUGCUUCCCCGGGCGUCGACCGGCGCACGGGUGAGUAACGCGUAUCCAACCUGCCUCUGACUGAGGGAUAACCCGUCGAAAGUCGGCCUAAUACCUCAUGGCAUCGUCUGCGGGCAUCCAACGACGAUUAAAGAUUUCAUCGGUCAGGGAUGGGGAUGCGUCUGAUUAGCUUGUUGGCGGGGUAACGGCCCACCAAGGCUACGAUCAGUAGGGGUUCUGAGAGGAAGGUCCCCCACAUUGGAACUGAGACACGGUCCAAACUCCUACGGGAGGCAGCAGUGAGGAAUAUUGGUCAAUGGGCGGGAGCCUGAACCAGCCAAGUAGCGUGCAGGAUGACGGCCCUAUGGGUUGUAAACUGCUUUUAUGCGGGGAUAAAGUGAGGGACGUGUCCUUCAUUGCAGGUACCGCAUGAAUAAGGACCGGCUAAUUCCGUG